rnacentral:tRNA from 1 species
UAGCCUUAUGGUUAAGGCUAUGGAUCGCCAAUCCGGAGACAACGGGUUCGAUUCCCGU